ACUUAAUAGAGAUUAAUAAGCAUCAAAUCUUGAGACACUCGACAAAGGCUCAGUGGUGUGAACAUGCUGCUCAACCAUCAUGGUGGUUCAAAGCCCCUUACUAGAAUCAAUUCAGAUUCAAAGCAAUAGGACUUGAAACUCUUCACUGAGAAGAAUGAAGAGAAGAAAAUUGUAAAGAGAGAAAGUAGAGGGAUAAAGUGGAGAGAG
rnacentral:lncRNA from 1 species